rnacentral:lncRNA from 1 species
AUUGGAGAUUGGAUUCUAGUUUAUGGUAGCAACUUAGAAAAUUAGCAUAUCAUUAUAAAGAAAUUUAUAAAGAAAUGGUUUGAACCAUAUGUGGUAGUUACAAUCCAUGAUAAUGUCACAUAUACCUUAUGUGAGUUAGAUAGAGGUAUCAUUAGGAUCCUAGUAGGAAGAAAAAAAGUGAAGGCUUUCAAGAGAAGAGAUGGGCAAUUCAAAAUACAAGACUUUGAAAAACUUUUACUUCAAUAUUUGGACUAUGAAUAUAUGUAAAAAUUACUUAAAAUAUAUAAAAUGUUUAUAAGUUUGGU